UACGGAGGGUGCAAACGUUGCUCGGAAUCAUUGGGCGUAAAGCGCACGUAGGCGGCCUGUUAAGUCGGGUGUGAAAUCCCUCGGCUCAACCGAGGAAGUGCAUUCGAAACUGGCAGGCUUGAAUGUGGAAGAGGGUCGUGGAAUUCCCGGUGUAGAGGUGAAAUUCGUAGAUAUCGGGAGGAACACCAGUGGCGAAGGCGGCGACCUGGGCCAACAUUGACGCUGAGGUGCGAAAGCGUGGGGAGCAAACAGG
rnacentral:rRNA from 1 species